UUAUAAUUAAAAAUUAAUUAAUGAGAGAUUAAAUGUAAAACAUUAAAUUUAAAGAGUUUGGCGGUAUUUUAAAUAGUUAGAGGAAUUUGUUAGUUAAAUGAUAGUCCACGAGUGGAGGGUCCUAAUGAAGGAUUUUAUGUAUUGUUGUAUAAAAAUUAUUUUAGAAGGUUUUAUAAUUAGUGUAUUUAAUUUAAUUUGAAUAUAAAUCAAAAUGUAGAAUUAUUAGGUUUUAAUGAAUUACAGUUUAUUAUAGUAAGAUUUAGAUUUUUUUUAAGUAAGAUGUGAGAUUAGGAUUUAAUAGUAAAUUUAAAUAAAUAUUUAAAUUGAAA
rnacentral:rRNA from 1 species